UAUGCCACAGUGUCUGGGCAAAGUAGGCUGUUUUUAAUAGUACUAACUUAAUCCACUGAUGGCUAUAGGAAAGCAUUGUGUAAUCCCCGAACACCUCUGUGGUGUAUUGGAUUCAUGACAUUGCGACAAUU
rnacentral:snoRNA from 1 species